CAACAGACUUAGUCCUGGUCUUUUCAUUAGCUAGUACUCAACUUAUACAUGCAAGCAUCCGCGAACCAGUGAGAACACCCUACAAGUCUGACAGACGAAUGGAGCCGGCAUCAGGCACAUCAACCGAUAGCCCAAAACGCCUAGCCCAGCCACACCCCCAAGGGUCUCAGCAGUGAUUAACCUUAAACCAUAAGCGAAAGCUUGAUUUAGUUAGAGUAGAUAUAGAGGCGGUCAACUCUCGUGCCAGCAACCGCGGUUAGACGAAAACCUCAAGUUAAUUGACAAACGGCGUAAAUUGUGGCUAGAACUCUAUCUCCCCCAUUAGUGCAGAUACGGUAUCACAGUAGUGAUAAACUUCAUCACACCGCAAACAUCAACACAAAACUGGCCCUAAUCUCAAAGAUGUACUCGAUUCCACGAAAGCUGAGAAACAAACUGGGAUUAGAUACCCCACUAUGCUCAGCCCUUAACAUUGGUGUAGUACACAACAGACUACCCUCGCCAGAGAAUUACGAGCCCCGCUUAAAACUCAAAGGACUUGACGGCACUUUAAACCCCCCUAGAGGAGCCUGUCCUAUAAUCGACAGUACACGUUACACCCGACCACCUUUAGCCUACUCAGUCUGUAUACCGCCGUCGCAAGCCCGUCCCAUUUGAGGGAAACAAAACGCGCGCAACAGCUCAACCGAGCUAACACGUCAGGUCAAGGUGCAGCCAACAAGGUGGAAGAGAUGGGCUACAUUUUCUCAACAUGUAGAAAUAUUCAACGGAGAGCCCUAUGAAAUACAGGACUGUCAAAGCCGGAUUUAGCAGUAAACUGGGAAAGAAUACCUAGUUGAAGUCGGUAACGAAGUGCGUACACACCGCCCGUCACCCUCCUCGAACCCAACAAAAUGCCCAAACAACAGGCACAAUGUUGGGCAAGAUGGGGAAAGUCGUAACAAGGUAAGCGUACCGGAAGGUGCACUUGGAACAU